CCUACGGGGGGCUGCAGUGGGGAAUAUUGGACAAUGGGCGAAAGCCUGAUCCAGCCAUGCCGCGUGUGUGAAGAAGGCCUUCGGGUUGUAAAGCACUUUCAGUGGGGAAGAAAGCCUUGGGGCUAAUACCCUCGAGGAAGGACAUCACCCACAGAAGAAGCACCGACUAACUCCGUGCCAGCAGCCGCGGUAAUACGGAGGGUGCGAGCGUUAAUCGGAAUUACUGGGCGUAAAGCGCGCGUAGGCGGUCUGAUAAGCCGGUUGUGAAAGCCCCGGGCUCAACCUGGGAACGGCAUCCGGAACUGUCAGGCUAGAGUGCAGGAGAGGAAGGUAGAAUUCCCGGUGUAGCGGUGAAAUGCGUAGAGAUCGGGAGGAAUACCAGUGGCGAAGGCGGCCUUCUGGACUGACACUGACGCUGAGGUGCGAAAGCGUGGGUAGCAAACAGGAUUAGAUACCCCAGUAGUC
rnacentral:rRNA from 1 species